rnacentral:tRNA from 1 species
AGCUAUGUCGUCUAAUGAAAGGAUAUUAAAUUGCAAAUUUAAAGGUAAUAAUAUAUUUAUUAUUUAUAGCUU